rnacentral:rRNA from 1 species
GAUGAACGCUGGCGGCGUGCCUAAUACAUGCAAGUCUAGCGAACGGACGAGAAGCUUGCUUCUCUGAUGUUAGCGGCGGACGGGUGAGUAACACUUUGAUAACCUACCUAUAAGACUGGGAUAACUUCGGGAAACCGUAGCUAAUACCGUAUAAUAUUUUGAACCGCAUGGUUCAAAAGUGAAAGACGGUCUUGCUGUCACUUAUAGAUGGAUCCGCGCUGCAUUAGCUAGUUGGUAAGGUAACGGCUUACCAAGGCAACGAUGCAUAGCCGACCUGAGAGGGUGAUCGGCCACACUGGAACUGAGAAACGGUCCAGACUCCUACGGGAGGCAGCAGUAGGGAAUCUUCCGCAAAGGGCGAAAGCCUGACGGAGCAACGCCGCGUGAGUGAUGAAGGUCUUCGGAUCGUAAAACUCUGUUAUUAGGGAAGAACAGAUGUGUAAGGAACUGUGCACAUCUUGACGGUACCUAAUCAGAAAGCCACGGCUAACUACGUG